AUCUACAAAAAAACCCAAAACACAGAGUUAAGCCUGUUCUCUAAUUCAGUAUGUGCUUGGCACAAAAGCUAGUCAUCAUUUGUUAAGCUAUGUUUAAUACACCUACAAAUCCUUAAUAUUUAGAAAUAAAAUCAAUUUUUCAAUAUUUGGUUGUAUUUAAUCAAUACAACACAUAAGAUUGUUUUAUAUUACUCAUUAUUUUUUGUUGGGAAAUAUGCUAAUCAUAUUACAAAGGGACGAUUUUGUGCUUAACUUAAUCACUUUGUACAAAGUCAGAUGACCAAGUGAGAAUGACCUGAGUCACCAGAUUCCAGCUGCCUCAAGAACUAACCCCAAACCUACUGAGGCCAACAAACUCCUGUUGGUUUCAACGCACUUGAGCUCAAGCUGUCAGAAUUCUGAUGCAUAUAUGAAGCAAGAUGAAGGACCGUGGAGAAACGGAAAAACACCUGCAGGUAACAUGUCCCCUUACAACGCUUCCAUUGAAGUAGGAGUCUCUAUGGUUGUGAUUCUCCACUUACACACUGGAGCUUCUGUAUGGGCAGCUUUAAGCUGCAUUAUAGAACACUGAGCCACGUUUGGAUGAUACGGCACGCACAGAAGCUGCACCAGUUUACCUAGACUGAUUUAAAAUCAAUUUAAUUAAACUAGUGCAACUUUCCUCCCACAGACAUGGUAUUAGACUUGGUCUACACUCAGAAGUCAGGUCAACAUAGCUAUCUCAGUCAGGGGUGUGAAAAAACUACACCCCAACAGAUGUAACUAUGCCAGCCUAAUCCCAGGGUAGACGCAGCUAUGUCAAUGAAUGAAUACUUCCAUCAACAUAGCUACCGUUGUUCAGGGAGAUGAUGUUUCUAUACCACCGCAGUUGCUGAAGGCUGUGUCUAUGCUGUGCAGUUAUGCUGGCAUAGUUAUCGAGAUGUGGCUAUGCCAAUACAGUCUCUGUAGUAUAGAUAUACCCCAGUCUGUUCCAAUGAAAUCCCUGCAAUUGCAAUUUCCCUAACAGAAGGGUAAACAAAGUGUGCCAUACCAUCCAAAUGUGGCUCAGAGUUCUAUAAUGCAGCUUAAAGCUGCCCAUACAGAAGCUCCAGCAUGCAAUGCUUCAUUUUGCUUCAAGUGACCUCACUGGGUGCACGCAGAGACUUUACAGUCUGAGCACAUUAUUUGACAGAGUGAGAAUACCUGCACUUUGCUUUAUUCUCUGCAAAUGUAGGUUUGAUCCUGGCUGUCAGCAAACAGUCAAUGCAACCUCUGGAUACUUCCUCUGGCAUGUAAGAAUGCAGAACAUGUUCAUUCUCUAAGCUCUUUAACAUCUGUUUUCUCAGAACUAAGUACUAAAAAGAUAUAGAACCUCACUGGGUGAUGUGAAAUGACUUGUGACUGAAAAGGACAAGUACUUUGGUUUGGUAGAAAUUAAAAAAAAACAACAAAAACAAACAAACAAACGAACGUACCUGCUCUGCCCAUCCCUCUGUUUUGCAGUUACUAUGAUCAAAUUCUUUCAGAGGCACUUUUGAAUGAACUAAGCUUAUUUGGGUCUGGAGCUUUUGAAUGACUGCCUUAACAUCCUAGUGGAAAAAGGAUAUAAAGCAGACUGUGUAGAAGAGCAUUUGAUCAUGCUGUAUAUAUAUAUAACAGACUUGGGUGGAAACUCUGUUUUACCUUGAGACCUGUUUCAGAAAUAUCCAAAUAAUUCAGCUUCUUGAAAGAAAAAAGGUACCCAAUUCCCAUAUCAGUGAUUUCAGGGUUACCUAUAAAAUCAAAAAGAUUAGAUUAAGUUGCAUGACUAUAGAAGUGUGUCCUGCAAAACGGAUUUUUUUAAAGUAUUAAAAUGUAGGUGUGGAAAAAAGACAAUAUAAAUGUUAUACUAGCAAGCAACCACUUAUUUCCCUGGUAAAUAUUUUAUAAGCAAUUCUGGCACAUUUAUAUUAACAUGCUCCAUGUUUUGAAAGUUAUUUGAAACUGAUUUUUUUUCCUCUUCAGAGCAAAGCUAAGCUUUCAAUUAGGUUAAGCAUUAUAAAUGUAUAAGCCAUACUUGUGCAUAUGUAAAUACACAUUUAUUACACAAGAAAACUAAUGUUCUUUUAAAUGUAAGGUUUCAAAGUCAAGCACCAAAAGAUAGGAAAUGCCAGUGUUCAGGCUGCCUGUGCAACCGUAAUCCAGGCCCCUGGGGCGUAUGCAUUACGAUCCUGUGUUUAAUUACAUGGUUGCAUAAUUUUCAUUCAGUGCACGGAAUGGAGGCUGCUCACUUAAUGAGCAACUAUUCAAUAUUUUCUUUUCUCCUUGUUCAACGUGUGGCCCUAUACUUGAUUUACUGCAUAAUAUUCAAACCUAUUCUGAAGACAGAAUUAUUUUUCUCAUGAGCUUUCCUAUGGCACUCAUCACAAUAGUAUGAGUGCUUUACACAUUUGUUAAUGUUCACAUCCCUGUGAGAAGAGGGGGAAUUAUUAUCCCCAUUUUACAAAUAAAGUACUGAGGCACAGAGAUUAAGGUCAAAAGUAUCCACGCCUUUUGUGUGGCUAAUUUGAAACAACUAGGACCUGAUAUCUGAAACUAUUUAGCAUUAUAUAGCAUUUAUAUAGUCAAAGCUCCCAUUGACUUCAGUUGUAGCUGUGAAUGCUCAGCACUUGUGUAAGACAGCCACAAGGGUCUCAGGUCAGGCACCCAGAGAAUGAGGAACAUGCAAGGAAGUAGUCACCUCUGAAAAGUCUGACUUUUAAAUGACUUGUCCAUUAUUAUCACACAGGGACAGAAUCCAGUUCUCCAGCGCAGUAUUCAACUACCUUAACUGAGAGACUGUCCUUUCUCUUUCUGUAGCCUCCUGCCUCAUUCACUACACAUCUUCCAACUUUUGCAAAUGAAGCAGGAAUUCGACGGACAUCAGUCUCUUUCAAAAUAAAACCCUGACUCAUCCCCAGAGCAGGUUCAGACCAUGCAUUGAAUGAGGCAGGGGUGCUGUGGGAAAAAAAAUAGUAAGUGCUCAUGUAAUUAAAGACUAUCAUACUGCAUACUCACAAGGGGGACAAAUUAGGGUUACACAGACAGGAAACAUCAGAAUUAAGGCUAACUUUUGAGUGCUAGACUUUGCAACCUGAAGUGUUUUUUAAAGUAGCAUUUUGUGUGCAAUUUUUUAGGUUUCCGAAAAUAGCAAAAUGGAAAAAAAAUUGAAUCAGACAGCUUCCUCUUUCAUACUGUCUGGUCCAGUGAGGGCAGCAUUGAGACCACAGGGGAGACAGGCUCCCUGAUCUCACUUCAGGUGCUUAGACCCAGCACGGCGCAAAGAAGCAAUUGCAGGGAAGGUUCUGCUCAGCUCCAGGUUGAAGCAUGCUCAGUGCAGAUGCAAUUGUAGGGAAUUUAACUGCUAAAUCU